UGACUGAGACUCAACUCUAGGGAAGCUAACUGGCCGGCUGUUGUGAGAUCUUUCUUGGGUCACUUGUCGAUAAAUCUGACUUACCGAGCUUCUCACAUUU